rnacentral:rRNA from 1 species
UACGUAGGGACCAAGCGUUGUCCGGAAUCAUUGGGCGUAAAGAGCGUGUAGGCGGCUUGUUAAGUCUUGCGUGAAAUCUCGGGGCUCAACCCCGAGCGGUCGUGAGAAACUGGCAGGCUAGAGUGCGGGAGAGGAGAGUGGAAUUCCUGGUGUAGCGGUGAAAUGCGCAGAUAUCAGGAAGAACACCCGUGGCGAAGGCGCUCUCUGGAACGCAACUGACGCUGAGACGCGAAAGCGUGGGGAGCAAACAGGAUAGAA